rnacentral:rRNA from 1 species
UACGUAGGGGGCUAGCGUUGUCCGGAAUCAUUGGGCGUAAAGCGCGUGUAGGCGGCCCGGUAAGUCCGCUGUGAAAGUCCAGGGCUCAACCCUGGGAUGCCGGUGGAUACUGUCGGGCUCGAGUCCGGAAGAGGAGUGUGGAAUUCCUGGUGUAGCGGUGAAAUGCGCAGAUAUCAGAAGGAACACCAAUGGCGAAGGCAGCACUCUGGGACGUGACUGACGCUGAGACGCGAAAGCGUGGGGAGCAAACAGG